AGCGAACGCUGGCGGCAGGCUUAACACAUGCAAGUCGAGCGGGCCCUUCGGGGUCAGCGGCGGACGGGUGAGUAACGCGUGGGAAUGUGCCUUCUGGUCUGGAAUAACCCUGGGAAACUAGGGCUAAUACCGGAUACGCCCUUCUGGGGAAAGGUUUACUGCCGGAAGAUCGGCCCGCGUCUGAUUAGCUAGUUGGUGGGGUAACGGCCUACCAAGGCGACGAUCAGUAGCUGGUCUGAGAGGAUGAUCAGCCACACUGGGACUGAGACACGGCCCAGACUCCUACGGGAGGCAGCAGUGGGGAAUAUUGGAAAAUGGGCGCAAGCCUGAUCCAGCCAUGCCGCGUGAGUGAUGAAGGCCUUAGGGUUGUAAAGCUCUUUUAUCCGGGACGAUAAUGACGGUACCGGAGGAAUAAGCCCCGGCUAACUUCGUG
rnacentral:rRNA from 1 species